GAGCUCAGCUGGUUAGAGCAUGGUGCUGAUAACACUGAGGUCGCAGGUUCGGUCCCUGUAUGGGACA